rnacentral:rRNA from 1 species
UUUAACUGAAGAGUUUGAUCAUGGCUCAGAUUGAACGCUGGCGGCAGGCUUAACACAUGCAAGUCGAGCGGAGAGAGGUAGCUUGCUACUGAUCUUAGCGGCGGACGGGUGAGUAAUGCUUAGGAAUCUGCCUAUUAGUGGGGGACAACAUUUCGAAAGGAAUGCUAAUACCGCAUACGUCCUACGGGAGAAAGCAGGGGAUCUUC